rnacentral:tRNA from 1 species
CGCGGAGUUGAGGAGUCUGGCCGUCCUCGUGAGCCUCAUUCGCUCAACAUCGCUGGUUCAAAUCCAGCCUCCGCAACCA